GCUGAGGCGUGAUGACGAGGCACUACGGUGCUGAAGCAACAAAUGCCCUGCUUCCAGGAAAAGCCUCUAAGCAUCAGGUAACAUUAAAUCGUACCCCAAACCGACACAGGUGGUCAGGUAGAGAAUACCAAGGCGCUUGAGAGAACUCGGGUGAAGGAACUAGGCAAAAUGGUGCCGUAACUUCGGGAGAAGGCACGCUGAUAUGUAGGUGAAGUCCCUCGCGGAUGGAGCUGAAAUCAGUCGAAGAUACCAGCUGGCUGCAACUGUUUAUUAAAAACACAGCACUGUGCAAACACGAAAGUGGACGUAUACGGUGUGACGCCUGCCCGGUGCCGGAAGGUUAAUUGAUGGGGUUAGCGGUAACGCGAAGCUCUUGAUCGAAGCCCCGGUAAACGGCGGCCGUAACUAUAACGGUCCUAAGGUAGCGAAAUUCCUUGUCGGGUAAGUUCCGACCUGCACGAAUGGCGUAAUGAUGGCCAGGCUGUCUCCACCCGAGACUCAGUGAAAUUGAACUCGCUGUGAAGAUGCAGUGUACCCGCGGCAAGACGGAAAGACCCCGUGAACCUUUACUAUAGCUUGACACUGAACAUUGAGCCUUGAUGUGUAGGAUAGGUGGGAGGCUUUGAAGUGUGGACGCCAGUCUGCAUGGAGCCGACCUUGAAAUACCACCCUUUAAUGUUUGAUGUUCUAACGUUGACCCGUAAUCCGGGUUGCGGACAGUGUCUGGUGGGUAGUUUGACUGGGGCGGUCUCCUCCUAAAGAGUAACGGAGGAGCACGAAGGUUGGCUAAUCCUGGUCGGACAUCAGGAGGUUAGUGCAAUGGCAUAAGCCAGCUUGACUGCGAGCGUGACGGCGCGAGCAGGUGCGAAAGCAGGUCAUAGUGAUCCGGUGGUUCUGAAUGGAAGGGCCAUCGCUCAACGGAUAAAAGGUACUCCGGGGAUAACAGGCUGAUACCGCCCAAGAGUUCAUAUCGACGGCGGUGUUUGGCACCUCGAUGUCGGCUCAUCACAUCCUGGGGCUGAAGUAGGUCCCAAGGGUAUGGCUGUUCGCCAUUUAAAGUGGUACGCGAGCUGGGUUUAGAACGUCGUGAGACAGUUCGGUCCCUAUCUGCCGUGGGCGCUGGAGAACUGAGGGGGGCUGCUCCUAGUACGAGAGGACCGGAGUGGACGCAUCACUGGUGUUCGGGUUGUCAUGCCAAUGGCACUGCCCGGUAGCUAAAUGCGGAAGAGAUAAGUGCUGAAAGCAUCUAAGCACGAAACUUGCC
rnacentral:rRNA from 1 species